rnacentral:rRNA from 1 species
GAUGAACGCUGACAGAAUGCUUAACACAUGCAAGUCAACUUGAAUUUGGGUUUUUAACUUAGGUUUGGGUGGCGGACGGGUGAGUAACGCGUAAAGAACUUGCCUCACAGCUAGGGACAACAUUUGGAAACGAAUGCUAAUACCUAAUAUUAUGAUAAUAGGGCAUCCUAUAAUUAUGAAAGCUAUAAGCGCUGUGAGAGAGCUUUGCGUCCCAUUAGCUAGUUGGAGAGGUAACGGCUCACAAAGGCGAUGAUGGGUAGCCGGCCUGAGAGGGUGAUCGGCCACAAGGGGACUGAGACACGGCCCUUACGCCUACGGGAGGCAGCAGUGGGAAAUAUUGGACGAUGGACCAAGAGUCUGAUCCAGCAAUUCUGUGUGCAAGAUGAAGUUUUUCGGAAUGUAAAGUGCUUUAAGUUGGGAAGAAAGAAAUGACGGUACCAACAGAAGAAGUGACGGCUAAAUACGUG